rnacentral:rRNA from 1 species
AUUGAACGCUGGCGGCAUGCUUUACACAUGCAAGUCGAACGGUAACAGGCCGCAAGGUGCUGACGAGUGGCGAACGGGUGAGUAAUGCAUCGGAACGUGCCCAGUCGUGGGGGAUAACGCAGCGAAAGCUGCGCUAAUACCGCAUACGAUCUAUGGAUGAAAGCGGGGGACCGUAAGGCCUCGCGCGAUUGGAGCGGCCGAUGUCAGAUUAGGUAGUUGGUGGGGUAAAGGCUCACCAAGCCAACGAUCUGGAGCUGGUCUGAGAGGACUACCAGCCACACUGGGACGGAGACACGACCCAGACUCCUACGGGAGGCAGCAGUGGGGAAUUUUGGACAAUGGGCGCAAGCCUGAUCCAGCAAUGCCGCGUGCAGGAAGAAGGCCUUCGGGUUGUAAACUGCUUUUGUACGGAACGAAACGGCUCUGGUUAAUACCUGGGGCUAAUGACGGUACCGUAAGAAUAAGCACCGGUUAACUACGUGCCAGCCGCCGCCGUAACAC